UCAUCAGGUUUGUUUUUCUCUUAUGCUCAUCUUUUUAAUGAUUGAAAUCUCGAGUCGUGUCUGAAAUCUCCAAUUGUGUUUGGUGUUCUUGAAUCAUGAUUGAUGGUCUCAAUUAUAUAUGUUAUAUUUUUAGUGUUUUUCUAUUUAAUUAUUCUUAAAUAACUUACCAUGUUUGAGUUUUUUUAUCAUGUUUAGUUGAAUGUGUCUAUGAUCUACACGAUCUUGAUGAAUUUUGGUAAUGAAUAGGGCUCAAAAGUUUCACAUUUGAAGGUAAACAUCACGCAAUUUCCAGCGAGAGUAGAGAAAGAGGGUUUGUUUUCCGGUCAUCUCCCCAUUUCCAGCGAGAAAAAAGUAUAAUUUUGAAGGAAGAUAUGAUUUUGUAAAGUUUGUAAAGUUGGUUCAGAAAGUUGGGAUGUAUAUGCAUCAAAGGAUUGGGCCAUUUGUUUGUGCAGAGUGGAAUUUUGGGGGUUUGCCUAUUUGGCUGAAGUAUGUUCAUGGAAUCAGCUUCAUAACUGAUAAUGAACCUUUCAAGGUCAUGCAGGGUGCUUUUCAAAUACAGUCAAAUGGGUUCGGGUCAAACGGUGGCGGAUUCUGGGACUCUGGGUAUAUUUGCACUCUAGGAAAGGAAACUUAAGGAACUGAAUCCAGUCAUGAGAAAUAUUACUUAUGACAUUGAAGAUCUGUAUAAUUUCAUUGAUGGCCUUGCUGAGUUGACUUUGUAUACCCUUUUAAUUAGGGAUGAGCAUUUGGUACCGGACUACCAGGUACCGGUACCGAACCGUACCGGUAUAUUCGAAACCGGUACGGGUACCAAUUUUCUCUGUUUUUCGGUACCGGUUCGGUACCAAACGGGUACCCGAACCGGUACCGUGCUCAUCUCUACGUUUAAUUAGACUUGAUGUCUUGCCUUUGAUGAUCAUGAAUAAGGAAUUUGUCGUCGCUUUGUUGGUGGAUCACGCGGCAAUGAUUAUGCUGAUUCUCUUCCUGGUUGUUAUUGGCUUAUAGACAGAGACAAAGCCUUAAAUCAUCGAAGUGGUAAUUGCGAGAAUAGAGGAGAACUGAAUCAACGAAGCUUACACUAUUGAGAGAAAGGAGAUACCUGGAAGACGAGAAAAAGAACUAAAUUAUCAAAGCAUUACAACCAAAGAAAUACUCAGGAAUCCGCUUUAGUAUGUUGUGAAUGCAAACCAACACCCAUGACCAUUCACAUUAAAUGCUCACUCAGAAAGCUUAUGUUGAUGAACAAGUUCACUCCAAGAUAAGAGUGUCUUUAUUUAAAGGGCAAGCACAAGGAGGACAACAUGUUGUAUUUGGGAUGUUUUGUUAUUUUUUUGCUUUUUCUUCAUGAGAUCAUUUACGAUAUAUGGUUAAUGUUUGUAUGUGUGUUAUCUGGUAACAAUAUCUGUUUAAAAGGAUAUUCUUUUAUUUUCAAA